rnacentral:rRNA from 1 species
GCGAAAACUUUACAAUGCUGGCAACAGCGAUAAGGGAACCUCGAGUGCCAGGUUACAAAUCUGGCUGUCGAGAUGCCUAAAAAGCAUUUCAUAGCAAGGGCCGGGCAAGACCGGUGCCAGCCGCCGCGGUAACACCGGCGGCUCGAGUGGUAACCGUUAUUAUUGGGUCUAAAGGGUCUGUAGCCGGCCGGAUAAGUCUCUUGAGAAAUCUGGCAGCUUAACUGUCAGGCUUUCAGGAGAUACUGUCUGGCUCGAGGCCGGGAGAGGUGAGGGGUACUUCAGGGGUGGGGGUGAAAUCUUGUAGUCCUUGAAGGACCACCAGUGGAGAAGGCGUCUCACCAGAACGGACCUGACGGCAAGGGGCGAAAGCUAGGAGCACGAACC